CUAAGCCUGUUCCAUUUUUUUGUUUGUUUUUUGUGGGCAUAAGCUCAUGUCCACUUACUCAGGUCUUGAGGCUUUUUUUCUCAUAAGUGACCGGUCACACCACUGCCAUUUUGUGUUGUUGGAUUAUGAUUAUACACUUUCAAACCAGUAAUUUUCCACUGGAUUCAAACAACUGUUCCCAGGAGAAGCCAGUCUUGCUGCUCAGAUCUGAGAAGAGACUUUGGCAAGCCAGGACUCAAGUCACCGCCAAUCUGAUGCAGAACGUGCGGCAUCCCCUGAGACCUUGAUACUAGCUGAGCACCCCCGACCCACAGGCCUCGCCGGUGUUCACAGCACAGAGCAGCGCCAACAGAUUGGACUGAGCUGCCCCUCCUCCAGCUGGAGCAGCCUACGGCCCCAACCACCUCAGAGGCACAGACCUCUCCCUUCACCAGGUCCAAGGACUGGUCACCCUGAGGGGCUGGUUGGUGUCCUCAGGCUGCAGGGCCUGCCAGGGCAGCUAGCUGGUCCAUAUACUUUUCAGAGAGAAAAUAGCCUGGGAGGAACACACUGAAAAAUGCAAAAAUGGGUUAAGGAUUAAGCUGUGUACUCGGCCCGCCCUCUUAACACCUUUUGGAUGAGUGUUUACUGAGCAUCAGCGCACCCCUGCCCUUGCGUGCAGGGCGCUGAGCGAGCGCAGGCUUCCAGCAUGAGGACCCGCCGUGGGGACCAGCUGCCUGGCUGAAGGCUCCGCUGAGUGGGGGUAACUGCUAACGAGUACUGGCUUCCCUUGGGGGUGAUGAAAACACAGUCGGUCUUCGUCUGUUUGUGAAUUCGCCCACUCAAUAAAGUUUAUUUGUAACUCCAAA